rnacentral:rRNA from 1 species
AGCGAACGCUGGCGGCAGGCCUAACACAUGCAAGUCGAACGAACCUUUCGGGGUUAGUGGCGGACGGGUGAGUAACACGUGGGAACGUGCCCUUAGGUUCGGAAUAACUCAGGGAAACUUGUGCUAAUACCGAAUGUGCCCUUCGGGGGAAAGAUUAAUCGCCUUUAGAGCGGCCCGCGUCUGAUUAGCUAGUUGGUUGAGGUAAUGGCUCACCAAGGCGACGAUCAGUAGCUGGUCUGAGAGGAUGAUCAGCCACAUUGGGACUGAGACACGGCCCAAACUCCUACGGGAGGCAGCAGUGGGGAAUCUUGCGCAAUGGGCGAAAGCCUGACGCAGCCAUGCCGGGUGAAUGAUGAAGGUCGUAGGAUUGUAAAAUUCUUUCACCGGGGACGAUAAUGACGGUACCCGGAGAAGAAGCCCCGGCUAACUUCGUG